rnacentral:lncRNA from 1 species
AUGGCUUUAAUAUGCACGGAGAAGAAAAAGCAUCCAGAACAAUGGGCGAGAAGAAAUAAAAACUUGUUGUCUAAAUCAAAGGAUUGGUAUUCUCCAAAUCGUUGCUACCACAUUGAGCCAUUUUCUCUGAUGUUGUCUCUACAAAGCAAAGUGAAAUGGACAGUUUUCCAGCUAAUUUGUUUUGUAUGGACCGCCAAGCUGGACACUUGCAGACCACAAAGUCUGUGAAUGAGAACCUGGGAGCUGGCAUGAGAAGAACUGAGCUGGAGCAUUUCGCCAUCACUGAAUAAAUAACUUACCCUCUUGAAUUCUUCCCUGUACAACUGGAGUAAGACACCACCCUGGCUUUUACACAGUUUGUGAGCUAAUAAGAUAAUGCUUAUGUACCUGUUUUAAUAUGAAUAAACUGAUAUUAAAACGGCACAUAACACAAUCAUUUUUACUACACCAGUCU